rnacentral:rRNA from 1 species
AACGAACGCUGGCGGCAGGCUUAACACAUGCAAGUCGAGCGCCCCGCAAGGGGAGCGGCAGACGGGUGAGUAACGCGUGGGAAUCUACCCAUCUCUACGGAAUAACGCAUGGAAACGUGUGCUAAUACCGUAUACGUCCUUCGGGAGAAAGAUUUAUCGGAGAUGGAUGAGCCCGCGUUGGAUUAGCUAGUUGGUGGGGUAAAGGCCUACCAAGGCGAUGAUCCAUAGCUGGUCUGAGAGGAUGAUCAGCCACACUGGGACUGAGACACGGCCCAGACUCCUACGGGAGGCAGCAGUGGGGAAUAUUGGACAAUGGGCGCAAGCCUGAUCCAGCCAUGCCGCGUGAGUGAUGAAGGCCCUAGGGUUGUAAAGCUCUUUCACCGGUGAAGAUAAUGACGGUAACCGGAGAAGAAGCCCCGGCUAACUUCGUGCCAGCCGCCGCCUAAGAC